rnacentral:rRNA from 1 species
AUGCUCAAUCGGGUGAUGUCGAUGCAGCGGGAAAGUCGUCGCCUGCAAAUACAACCCCAUAAUGGACCAGCUGAUUCAAAGGUUGACAGAAAGGACUCAACCUGCAAACAAGAUCAUAGUUCCCAAGGUGGUGAAACACAACACCCUGGGCCGCAUCUUCCAGAGGAUAUCUGGUGUCAUAUAUAUUCCCUACUGCCAAUGCGAGAUGCUGCUCAAGUUGCUUGCGUGUCAAAUGCAUUUCAACGUUUUUGGAGAUGCCAUCCAAACCUUGCUUUCAGUAUGAAAGCAUUGGGCAUGGAUAAAAGAUCAUGUGGAGAGGAUGAAAUAGUGAGAAAUUUCACCAGCAAGGUCGACCACAUUUUAAAAAACCGCUUAUGCAUGGCCAUAAAGACACUCGAGAUUGUUUUCCGUUAUUACAAUGACCAGGUCUGUAACCUUGAUAGCUGGCUUCAGACUAUUAUUACACCGGGGAUUGAAGAACUCACUGUUCAGCUAUCUAGAAAGUCUGGAAGAUAUUACAACUUUCCAUGGUCAGUUUUAGCUAAUGAGAGUGGAAACUCGAUUCGGUAUAUAAAUCUUUCUUGUUGUGCUUUCUCUUCCACUGCCGGGUUGUGCUUGAAAAGCUUGUCAAGACUUGAGUUGUGUGAUGUUGAUAUCACGGGGGACCAAUUGGGGUCUCUUCUUCACAAUUCUUUUGCUUUGCAACGGAUGCAACUCAGACGUUGCAAUAAUAUAAGUUGCUUGAAGAUACCAUUUCAUUUGCAACAACUUGGAUAUCUUGAAGUGUUUGACUGCAGCUUGCUGCUUAUAGAGAUAGAAGCUCAAAACCUUUCUAAUUUUUAGUUUAGGGGUCACACCCAAGUACAACUACCACUUGGAGUAGCAUUGCAAUUGAAGAAGCUUGUCAUGUCAUUUCCUGGUGCUGUCAGCUAUGUUUGUGCUGAUUUUCCGUCUAGCUUGCAAUAUGUUGAAGCUCUUACCAUAUGUUCAUCUCAUGAGAUGAUUGAUACACCAGUGCUACCUAGUAGCAAGUUCUUACAUCUUAAGUACUUGAGUGUUGAUCUUAGUGCAGUGGUAUUUUCCCCAACCUACGAUUAUUGUUCUCUGAUAUCCUUUUUUGAUGCUUCUCCUUCCUUGGAGACCCUUGUCAUGAACGUGUUGCAAGUAAAAAUGUUGCACGAAUCAAUCGUGGGAGAUACAUCACAUUUGAGGGAGAUGCCAGGACACCGCCAUGAUAGCCUUAAGACAGUGAAGAUCAUUGGUUUCUCCUCUGCGAAGAGCUUAGUUGAGCUGACAUGCCAUAUCAUUGAGAAUACGACGUCACUUGAGUGCCUUACAUUGGACACCACACGAGGACAUCCUUGGGAUAGCUGUUCAUCCAACUAUACUGGAAAGUGCUUGCUGUUGCACGGGGAUUUUAUGGUGGAAGCUCGUAAAGGCCUCUUGGCUAUAAGGACAUAUGUUAAUCUCAUGCUCAUCAAAAGGAAUCCACUAACAAGGUUGAUCAGGUCUUGUUAG